CGCCUCCUGCCAAAUUAUAAGAGGUCUAGCCUGCCCAGUAACACAGUUCAACGGCCGCGGUAUCCUAACCGUGCGAAGAUAACAUAAUCACUUGUUCUUUAAAUAAGGACUAGUACCAACAGCAUCACGAGGAUUAUACUGUCUCCUCUAUCCAAUCAGUAAAACUGAUCUUCCAUGAAGAAGCGGGAAUAUAACUAUAAGACGAGAAGAACCCACGGAGCUUUAAACUCAACAACACCCCCUUAUGUUUAAACCCAAGAAAAAUUAAGAAGAUAUGUAAGUUAGUUUUAGCUUUGGGUGACCGCAGAGAAUAAUAAAACCACCAUAACGAACGGACACAGUCCUAAUCCAAGAGCAACUGCUUUAAGAAUCAACAAAUUGACGCAAUAUGAUCCGAUAAUCGAUCAACGAACCAAGUUACCCUGGGGAUAACAGCGCAAUCUAUUUCAAGAGCCUCAUAGACAAAUAGGUUUACGACCUCGAUGUUGGAUCAGGGUAUCCUAGAGGUGCAGCCGCUUCUAAUGGUCCGUUUGUUCAACGAUAAAACCCU
rnacentral:rRNA from 1 species